rnacentral:rRNA from 1 species
AAACUUUCAACAACGGAUCUCUUGGUUCCGGCAUCGAUGAAGAACGCAGCGAAAUGCGAUAAGUAAUGCGAAUUGCAGAAUUCCGUGAGUCAUCGAAUCUUUGAACGCACAUUGCGCCCUCUGGUAUUCCGGAGGGCAUGCCUGUCCGAGCGUCAUUA